CCACCAACCGCCUGCAGGGAAGCAUGGACACAAGCGUCAGCAGCCCGCCACAAAGAAAAACAAAACCAAGGUCCAAGAGCAGCAGAUUCCCCAACCUGAAAGACCGAAGCCAAACUUCGGAGCUUUCGUCAUCGGGUCGUUAAGUUUUCUCCAUCCAUCAGUUAAAAUUUGCUACGGUUGUGGUGAAGACCUUAAGCCUGAUGGACAAGUCCCUGAUAAGCCAAACGAUUUAGUUAUUGUCAGCGGAGACAAACGGUCUUACUACGACACAGAGACAAAGAAGGUUGUCAUCACGUCUUCAAAUUCUACUUGACAUUCCCAUUGUCAGUACAAAUGCUGUGACUAAUCUUGAGGAUUUGAAACUAGAUGACCCCGAGAUUUCAUGUACUCAUGUAUUUGUGGUUUAGUAUAAAAGAGUUGCAGAGCACAGUCUAGUCUACAUACCAUAUCCUGAAUCAUCCAGCUGCAAAUCAAGUUUCCUUCUAGAGUGAGUGGUUUUCGAGGUCCUCAGUUUGCUAGACCAUGGCACGGAUCCACUGCCAUUUGCUCUUUGCUUUCAUUUUGUUCAUGAUUGUUGGCCCUUUUUGGGGUAAAGCUGUUUACACUAGAAGAUCACAUGCGGUAAAUUCGUCAACGUCCGAAAUUCAAGUUUUUGGCGAUAAAG